UACGUAGGGGGCAAGCGUUGUCCGGAUUUAUUGGGCGUAAAGAGCGUGUAGGCGGCCUGAAAGGUCAGCUGUGAAAACUCGAGGCUCAACCUCGAGACGUCGGUUGAAACCAUCUGGCUAGAGUCCGGAAGAGGAGAGUGGAAUUCCCGGUGUAGCGGUGAAAUGCGUAGAGAUCGGAAGGAACACCAGUGGCGAAGGCGGCCGCCUGGGCAGUAACUGACGCUGAUGCGCGAGAGCGUGGGGAGCAAACAGG
rnacentral:rRNA from 1 species